rnacentral:lncRNA from 1 species
UAAAAAAUAGCCUAAAAUGCAAAAUACAAGUUGUUAUUUUGAGUAAAUAUGAAGCUGUUGCUAUGAAGUGCCUAAUUAUGGGCUUAAGUUUGCUACUUGUGAAUUUUUCCCUCUUCUGUAAGUGCCCUUUUAAUUAAAGUUCAAUUUUUGAUUGGACUAGUCCAUGAAUUUGGGUUAUAAAUGAUGAGUCCACUUUACUAAGCCCCAGAUGACAUAUUAUUCUAAAAGUUAUUUGGUUUCAUGUGUCGAAUGAUGUGGUAUACCAAGCCAUGUAAAUGAGUCAAUAAGACCAUGCCACAUAUAAAAAUGAUGCAGUAUGCUUGGUGAAAUCAAAGUCCAAUCAACAUACGCCAUAUGUAUACGUUGAUAUGUUACAACCAAC